UUAACAGCUGCUGCCUUUUGGCUAAGAUCAAAUGGUAGUGUCUGUUCUUAUCAGCUUAAUAUCUGAUAUGGUCCCUAUUUGGGUGAUGGGCAUCGAUAUUAAACUGAUUUUUAGAACAAGGUGAAGAGUUAGGAGCUUGCUCUGCCUUUUCCACAAGUUUGCCUGGUCUUGCAGUACUUUCAGGAAUCAGCCCAUUUAAC